rnacentral:rRNA from 1 species
AGAGUUUGAUCAUGGUUCAGGAUGAACGCUGGCGGCGUGCUUAACACAUGCAAGUCGAACGGAAAUGUUUCGCUGAUGCGAUUUCGGUCAAAUCUUGAAGCAUUUUAGUGGCGGACGGGUGAGUAACGCGUGGGUAACCCUGCCCUGUACAGGGGGACAACAGUUGGAAACGACUGCUAAUACCGCAUAAGCGCACAGCUUCGCAUGAAGCGGUGUGAAAAACUCCGGUGGUACAGGAUGGACCCGCGUCUGAUUAGAUAGUUGGUGAGGUAACGGCCCACCAAGUCAACGAUCAGUAGCCGGCCUGAGAGGGUGAACGGCCACAUUGGGACUGAGACACGGCCCAAACUCCUACGGGAGGCAGCAGUGGGGAAUAUUGCACAAUGGGGGAAACCCUGAUGCAGCGACGCCGCGUGAGUGAAGAAGUAUUUCGGUAUGUAAAGCUCUAUCAGCAGGGAAGAAAACAAUGACGGUACCUGACUAAGAAGCCCCGGCUAACUACGUGCCAGCAGCCGCGGUAAUACGUAGGGGGCAAGCGUUAUCCGGAUUUACUGGGUGUAAAGGGAGCGUAGACGGUAGACCAAGUCUGAAGUGAAAGCCCGGGGCUCAACCCCGGAACUGCUUUGGAAACUGGUAAACUAGAGUGCAGGAGAGGUAAGUGGAAUUCCUAGUGUAGCGGUGAAAUGCGUAGAUAUUAGGAGGAACACCAGUGGCGAAGGCGGCUUACUGGACUGUAACUGACGUUGAGGCUCGAAAGCGUGGGGAGCAAACAGGAUUAGAUACCCUGGUAGUCCACGCCGUAAACGAUGAUUACUAGGUGUCGGGGAGUUAA